UACGUGGGCGGUCUGUUAAGUCAGUGGUGAAAGUUUGCGGCUUAACCGUAAAAUUGCCAUUGAUACUGAUAGGCUUGAGUACAGUUGAGGUAGGCGGAAUGUGUAGUGUAGCGGUGAAAUGCUUAGAUAUUACACAGAACUCCGAUUGCGAAGGCAGCUUACUAAACUGAGACUGACGCUGAGGUACGAAAGCGUGGGUAGCGAACA
rnacentral:rRNA from 1 species